UCGGAAGGGCGGAGGAUCGCUUUCAGCGCAAGUUGGAAGAGGAAAGUCCGAACUCCAUAGGGCGCGAUGCCGCGUAACCUGAAUUAGGUUCAGGAUACACGCGGGCAGUAAUGUCGAGAGACAUUCUGACGGAUAGUGCCACAGAAAAUUAAACCGCCCAGCCCUUCUCAAAGCCGCUAGUUACAGAACGUUCGCACAGGCUGCGAGCGGUAGAGGCCGGGCUGAUACUGGCAGUUUUGGGAAGGGCUGGUGUAAGGGUGAAAAGGUGGGGUAAGAGCCCACCGCCCCAAGAGUAAUCGAGGGGGCACGGAAAACCCCAUCGGGUGCAAGGCCAAAUAGGAAACCGCGGAGCUGCCCGCUCCACGUCCCGUUAAACGGACCGGUUUCGGGUAUUGGCUGCUCAGACAAAUGAUUCUCUCUCCCGCUUUGGCGGGACAGACAAAAUUCGGCUUACAGCUCUUCCGAAAUC
rnacentral:RNase_P_RNA from 1 species